UACGUAGGGUGCAAGCGUUAAUCGGAAUUACUGGGCGUAAAGCGUGCGCAGACGUUAUGUAAGACAGAUGUGAAAUCCCCGGGCUCAACCUGGGAACUGCAUUUGUGACUGCAUAGCUAGAGUACGGUAGAGGGGGAUGGAAUUCCGCGUGUAGCAGUGAAAUGCGUAGAUAUGCGGAGGAACACCGAUGGACGAAGGCAAUCCCCUGGACCUGUACUGACGC
rnacentral:rRNA from 1 species